rnacentral:rRNA from 1 species
GACGAACGCUGGCGGCGUGCUUAACACAUGCAAGUCGAACGGAAAGGCCCUGCUUUUGUGGGGUGCUCGAGUGGCGAACGGGUGAGUAACACGUGAGUAACCUGCCCUUGACUUUGGGAUAACUUCAGGAAACUGGGGCUAAUACAGGAUAGGAGCUCCUGCUGCAUGGUGGGGGUUGGAAAGUUUCGGCGGUUGGGGAUGGACUCGCGGCUUAUCAGCUUGUUGGUGGGGUAGUGGCUUACCAAGGCUUUGACGGGUAGCCGGCCUGAGAGGGUGACCGGCCACAUUGGGACUGAGAUGCGGCCCAGACUCCUACGGGAGGCAGCAGUGGGGAAUAUUGCACAAUGGGCGGAAGCCUGAUACAGCAACGCCGCGUGCGGGAUGACGGCCUUCGGGUUGUAAACCGCCUUCGCCUGUGACGAAGCGUGAGUGACGGUAAUGGGUAAAGAAGCACCGGCUAACUACGUG